AGGGGUUAAACUCAUUUUGAUAAGCAUAUAAAAUUUAGUUUUUGUGGUAAGAAUUUUUUAUACUCCAUUUGAACUCAAUUGAAGUAUUACAACCAUAUCCUUGCAGGUAUAGGAAACAGCUGCAAAAUGAUUUUAAUAUUUGCAAUAUAUUAGUGCUUUCAAUGUAUUCUGACAAUGGAAAAGUUCCUAACCGCAUGUCUGCAUUACACCUAUGACCCAGACUGUCAGUAUUGCAAACCCUAUAUGAAGACUCUGCUUUCACUGUUUAUGUAUACACCCCUAGACAACCGUGCUAUACAUGCACAAUAAAUCUUCAAAAGCGUAUUAAUAUUAUAUCUAUGUGGUACACAAAGAGGUGUACACAAAGAGGGGGUGUGAG